CGUGGCUGGUGCCAUCUCCAGGCGUGUGGUCCAGUGCACCAACACCCCACCCCCCCGUGGCUGCCAGCAAGCACCUAUCCACCCGCAGGACCUUCCCACUGUCCCUGACUGAUGCUGUCCCCACUCGGCACCAGCUCCCCACCCGUCCCCUGCCCCUGGCAACCCAUCCUACCCUCCUACUCUCUGGAUCGGCCACUCUAGGUACCUCGCGUAAGUGAAGUCACUCAGCGUUUGUCCUUGGUGACGGGCUGAUUUCAGUUAGCUUGAUGUCUCCAGGGUUCCUCCACAGUUUGUCAGCGUUUCCUUUCUCUUUCUGGGUACAGGACAUUUAUCCCUUCAUUCACCCAUGGACACUGGUGGCUCCUGCCCCUCGGCUGUUGUGAGCCAGGCUGCUCUGAACUUGGGGUGCAGCCCUCUGUCUCUCAGAGGCCUGCUUCCCCUUCUCCUGUGUGUGACCAUGUUCUCCCCACGUGUGUGCUUCCGUG
rnacentral:lncRNA from 1 species